rnacentral:lncRNA from 1 species
CAAAUAUGUUUGCUUAUGUGUUUGUCUUUUUAAAGGAGCUUCUUUGAAAAGCGGCUCUUGUCCAGAAAAGAAUGGCUUCCAAGGAUCUAUUUGGAACUCCUUGAGGAUAGUGAAACCAUUGGUGCUUUGAGACUAGUCAGUCAUCAUCUCUUCGAAAUGCAUCAUAAAGAUGGGAGGAUUUUCUGAUUGUCAUGCCUGGUGGAGAGUAUGAACUGCAAACAAUUCCUUGAUAUCUUGUG